rnacentral:rRNA from 1 species
UACGUAGGGUCCGAGCGUUGUCCGGAGUUACUGGGCGUAAAGGACGCGCAGGUGGCGGUGUUGGCCCGGCGUGAAAGCCCCCGGCUCAACUGGGGAGGGUCACGCGAUACUGAUCGACUCGAAGGCAGGAGAGGGUAGUGGAAUUCCCGGUGUAGUGGUGAAAUGCGUAGAUAUCGGGAGGAACACCAGUGGCGAAGGCGACUACCUGGCCUGUUCUUGACGCUGAGGCGCGAAAGCUAGGGGAGCAAACGGG